rnacentral:rRNA from 1 species
CCGGCGCACGGGUGAGCAACGCGUAUGCAACCUGCCUGAUACCGGGGUAUAGCCCAUGGAAACGUGGAUUAACACCCCAUAGUACUUUUAUCCUGCAUGGGAUGUGAGUUAAAUGUUCAAGGUAUCGGAUGGGCAUGCGUCCUAUUAGUUAGUUGGCGGGGUAACAGCCCACCAAGACGAUGAUAGGUAGGGGUUCUGAGAGGAAGGUCCCCCACAUUGGAACUGAGACACGGCCCAA